AUUUUUAAAAAUUUUUUUUCCAUUUUUAUUAGGUAUUUACCUUAUUUACAUUUCUAAUGCUAUACCAAAAGUUCCCCAUACCCACCCCACCCCACUCCCCUACCCACCCACUCCCCCUUUUUGGCCCUGGCAUUCCCCUGUACUGGGGCAUAUAAAGUUUGCAAGUCCAAUGGGCCUCUCUUUGCAGUGAUGGCCAACUAGGCCAUCUUUUGAUACAUAUGCAGCUAGAGACAAGAGCUCCUGGGUACUGCUUAGUUCAUAUUGUUGUUCCACCUAUAGGGUUGCAGUUCCCUUUAGUUUCUUGGGUGCUUUCUCUAGUUCCUCCAUUGGGGGCUCUGUGGUCCAUUCAAUAUCUGACUGUGAGCAUCCACUUCUGUGUUUGCUAGGCCCUGGCAUAGUCUCACAAGAGACAGCUAUAUCAGGGUCCUUUCAGCAAAAUCUUGCUAGUGUAUGCAAUGGUGUCAGCGUUUGGAUCUCUGGAUAUGGCAAUCACUAGAUGGUCCAUCCUUUCGUCACACUUCCAAAUUUUGUCUCUGUAACUCCUUCCAUGGGUGUUUUGUUUCCUAUUCUAAGAAGGGGCAAAGUGUCCACACUUUGGUCUUCUUUCUCUUGAGUUUAAUGUGUUUAGCAAAUUGUAUCUUAUAUCUUGUGUAUCCUAAAUUUCUGGGCUAAUAUCCACUUAUCAGUGAGUACAUAUUGUGAAAGUUCCUUUGUGAUUGGUCUAUACCCCAUUUUUUGAUUCUGGUUUUUUUUUUUUUUGUUUUGUUUUGUUUUGUUUUUGUUUUUUUUUUAAAGUGGUUAGCUUCCUGAGUUAUACUUUGAUAUAAUGAUUUUUAAAAAGUUAAAAAUUGAGACACAGGGCACAGCACAGCACAGCACAAUCUUAAUGGCCCAGGUACAGGUGUGUUCUCAUCUUGAAAACAAUGUAAUAACUGUACAAUGGUAGUUCCAGAUUAAUACUUGAACUAAAAAGAAUGCUUGAAGAAUUAUUAGAAAAUGAAUUAAAGCCAACAUUGGGAAAUAAAGAAAGGAAAAAAAAACUAUUGAUCUUAUGAAAUAAGUUUUAUACAGCAUUUAAGAGUGGUUCCUGGAGAAGCAAGUAUAGAGUAUGUAAAACCUUGUACUAGUAAAACUAAGUCAAAACACUGGGACACUUAAGAGAGUUAUUGUGUACAAUGAGCAGAAGUGGGACUACUGAGUUAAGGGUUAACUUGAUUCUUUCUGGCCACUGCCUGGCAGCUUUGCCCUUGUCUUUUAUCCUAGGAGUUUCAAAAAAAAAAAAAUCAAAGAAGCUGGCCUCUGAGCUCUGACAUAUAAUAAGUCAAAAGUUAAAGUUUAAAUAAUGAUAAGUUUAUUAUUAUUAUUUUGGCUACAUGCGUGGGAAUAGGGAAAGCUUGAAACUUUGGGGAACAAUUGUAAAUUUUGAUUUUCUGUGGGAUGUGGUUAUUCUUUCAAAUUUGAUUUGACAAUGAAUAUAUAAUAGUUUUUUUUCUACCAGUUUUUGGAGUAUCAAUAAACGACUGGGAC
rnacentral:lncRNA from 1 species